CCUACGUGAGGCUGCAGUGGGGAAUAUUGGACAAUGGGCGAAAGCCUGAUCCAGCCAUGCCGCGUGUGUGAAGAAGGCCUUCGGGUUGUAAAGCACUUUCAGUGGGGAAGAAAGCCUUGGGGCUAAUACCCUCGAGGAAGGACAUCACCCACAGAAGAAGCACCGGCUAACUCCGUGCCAGCAGCCGCGGUAAUACGGAGGGUGCGAGCGUUAAUCGGAAUUACUGGGCGUAAAGCGCGCGUAGGCGGUCUGAUAAGCCGGUUGUGAAAGCCCCGGGCUCAACCUGGGAACGGCAUCCGGAACUGUCAGGCUAGAGUGCAGGAGAGGAAGGUAGAAUUCCCGGUGUAGCGGUGAAAUGCGUAGAGAUCGGGAGGAAUACCAGUGGCGAAGGCGGUCUUCUGGACUGACACUGACGCUGAGGUGCGAAAGCGUGGGUAGCAAACAGGAUUAGAUACCCUAGUAGUC
rnacentral:rRNA from 1 species